CGCCUCUUGCUUAACUAUAAGAGGUCCAGCCUGCCCGGUGACAUAGUUUAACGGCCGCGGUACCCUAACCGUGCGAAGGUAGCAUAAUCACUUGUUCUUUAAAUGGGGACUCGUAUCAACGGCAUCACGAGGAUCACACUGUCUCCCCCCUCUAAUCAGUGAAACUGAUCUCCCCGUGAAGAAGCGGGGAUUUUUUUAUAAGACGAGAAGACCCCAUGGAGCUUUAAACCCGAUGACACCCCCGCCCCAUCUAUACCCACGUAUUCGUUGGGGGCCUGUUCACUCGGUUUUAGGUUGGGGUGACCGCGGAGUAAAACAAAACCUCCACGAAGAACGGGCUUACCCCCUUAUCCAAGAGAUACAUCUCUAAGAAUUAGUAAACUAAUAUCUAAUGAUCCGAUUUUUCGAUCAACGAACCAAGUUACCCUGGGGAUAACAGCGCAAUCCACUUCAAGAGCUCAUAUCGACAAGUGGGUUUACGACCUCGAUGUUGGAUCAGGGUAUCCCAGUGGUGCAGCAGCUACUAACGGUUCGUUUGUUCAACGAUUAAAACCCU
rnacentral:rRNA from 1 species